rnacentral:misc_RNA from 1 species
GGGACGUACUAGUUCCACUCAGUAUAGUUCUUCUGAUUAUGGAAUUAGUCGUGGGAAACCUGCGAUCAAAAAAGAAAAUGAAACAUAUGGUUUUCCAACUUCAUCAAUUUUGGGGCCAAACAUGGCAGGGAAUAAUCUUACUCGGAAGUCAACAGGUCCAAGUGAAUCUGCUUUUAUGGAAAAUAAAACACAUCCAACCGGUCUAGAUGAUGGGAUGCCUUCAUCCUCGCAGCCAUCAUCAGGUUAUCAGAAUAACUGGACGGCGAAGCCUGGUCAUGUUUCUAUGGCCGAUAUCGUGAAAAUGGGCAGACCUCAAGGCAAGACUUCCAACACGUCUUUUAUACCUGGUGACAUGCCCUACACAUCACAUAAUGGAGUCGUACCGAGCAUGUCUCAUCAGAGUGUAAGUCGGUCCACAACCAAAGUUCUGCCUGCAGAAACAGAUGUGGAAUUCCAUUCCUCUCAAG